rnacentral:lncRNA from 1 species
UUAAUAAACCGCAUCCAUAAGUUGCAGCAACAAUUUUCUUUUUGAUUGCAGUGUGGUAAGGUACUGAUUCCAUGUUCCCUUGGGCUGCAACAAGAUUCCUUAAACCAUUAAAUUUGACACGCUAACCACAGCUUAAUAGAAGGUGAUUACAAAGCAUAAAUGUGAAAAAAAUAAUUUUAAAAGAUACAUCUCAAUAUAUUUUUGUAUAUUUUUAUAUACUUUGUACAUAUGUUAAUCUACUUUUGACACAUUAAGGGGAUGUUUGGUAACGUUUUCAUUUUUCUGUUUUUUGUUUUUGUUUAAUUUUUGUUUUGUUUUGUAUUUUUUGUAAAACAGAAACUAAAAAUACGUUUGUGUCCCCGAUUUUUUAGCUAUUUUAAAAAUAAAAAUAUAUUUUUUUCAUAACCCCUUUUUGAAAACUAUUUUCAAAAGAGAUGGAGGCGGUAGUGGUAGCUGUGGUAUAGGAGGUGGCGAUGGUGGUUGGAGGGCAACGGCGGUGGUGGUCCGGAAGGGGGGGCGGCGGUGGGGGGUUGAGGUGGAAGUGGCGGUGGAGGUGGUGGUUGGUGUUUUGUGGUGGUGUGGUGUUGGAUUUGGGCGGCGGCGGUGUGGUUGGAGGGUGGGUGGCGCGGUGGUGGUUGGAGGUGGUGGCGGCGGCGGUGGUUGGAGUGGGUGGUGGCGGCGGUAGUGGUUGGAGGUGGAGUGGUUGAGGAGGUGGAGUUGUGGCGGCGGUGUUGGUUGGAGGUGGAGGUGGUGGUGUUGCAGGUGGAGGUGGAGGUGGGGCGGCGGUCAGUGGUUUGAGGUGUGUAGGUGGCGGUUGGUUGGAGGUGGAGGAGGUGAGGUGGAGUGGUGGCGGCGGUGGUGGUUUGGUAGGUGGUGGUGGGUGUGGUGGUUGGAGGUUGAGGUGGAUGUGGGUGGUGGUGGAGGUUGUUGGAGGUGGAGGUGGAGGUGGGUGGUUUGGUUGGUGGUUGAGGUGGCGGCGGCGGUUGGUUGGGUAGGUGGUGUUGGGUGGUGGUCGCGCGGUUAUGUGGUUAGAGGUGGGUGGCGGUGGCGGUGGUGGAGGAGGUUGCGGUGGGCUGUGGCGGUGGCGGGGUUGAGGUGGAGGUGUUGGUUGGUUGGGUGGCGAUGUGGGUUGGAGGGGAGGUGGAGUGGAGGUGGCGGCGGCGGUGGUUGGAGAUGGAGGUGGUGGUUGGAGGGCGAGGCGGCGGUGGCGGUGGUUGGUGGUGGUGGUUGUGGUGAGGAGGUGUUGAACAAAAUUUGAUAAAAAAUGUUUGAUGAAAGUUUUUGUAAACAAACCAAAAUAAUUUUUUCUUAUUUACUAUUUUCAAAAAUAGUGACAGUUUAUUUCGAUUUAUUUUUUAUUUAUUUUUUGCAACACAAACAGUUAUUUUCUUUUCAUUAAACAGAAAAAUAAAAAUUAACAGAAAACAAAUUAAUGAGUUAACAAACAUCCCCUAAAUAUUGCUAAGUGAGUGUAGUUACUUUUUCCCAUUAUAUUAUCAGUUGGCUGCACAUGAAAGUUGAUGUCAGUCAAGUCAGUUAGCCUAAAGUUCAUAACGAGGGUGAAUGUGGGACGUGUGGGGUUGAUCAGUGGCCUUUUUGGGGCGUGGUUCGUUGGAAUCUAAAAAAACAAUGAUGGGGUAUGGCAUGCAAAAGUGGAACAAUUGGGUGGCUUGAGUGGCAACUUAGGAGGGAGGCGAUUGGCUUGUGCGUGGAAGGCAAGUGGGUGUGUUGCCUUUUUGAGUGGUAACAUUAAAGACCCUUUGGCUGUAUUUUGAAUCACGGACGUAGGAUUUGAUGAGAAAAAAUAAAAUAAAAUAAAAAUAAAAUAAGCUAAGUGUAUUUAAACUUUGAAAGUGUAUUUGGAGAUUCAUAGGAAGUUACUAUUCAUGGAAUGUCUAAUCCAAAGUGUAUUUGGAGAUCCAUAGGAAGUUACUAUUCAUGGAAUGUCUAAUCGAAACUUUUAUUUUCACAUUUAUAUCUUUCUAAUGAUAUUAAUUUUAUAAGAAAAUAAAAUUAUAAUUUAAAAGUUAAUCAUGUUUUUAGAAAAAGAAAAAUAACACCAAUGAAGAGUUAAUCGGAAAUUAGUCUUUAAAUUUUGGACAAGUCUCUACAUUAAGAGACUCAAAGCAACUCUAACCGUACUUCUUUUAUCCAAAAUAGAGACUAAAAUAGAGAUUUGAAACUCCAAACCAACUCCAUUUUAUAGCCAAAAAUAGAGACUCAACUGAGUCUCCACUAACCAAAUCUUAUCUCUGAGUCUACAUUAAACACCUGGACGAGGGCGACAACGAAUUAUCUCUUUGAGAACAUAGCAACAAACGCUAACCUCAAUUUGUUCAUUUAAUUUUCAGUUUUAGAUUCUGGAUUUGUAUUUGACAACAAUAUUAUUUCUUUUCAUAAUUACUUUUUGCUUUAGUGUUAUUAAACAAAACAUAACCCGUUGGUUGUGUUAGUUUAUAUAUUAUUUUACAAAAACUUUUUCAUGAGACUUUGUUUUUCC